rnacentral:tRNA from 1 species
GGGUAUGCAGCUAUGUGGCCUUAGUUUUGCAAAAGCUAAUGAAAAGUUUAUUACUUUCAUACCCU